AUACCAUGGUGAGGGCAAGCUCUUGUAUACCCCUUCAUACGCUCCAAUGCAUCAUACAAACUCUCUUCUUCGCCUUGCUCGAAUCUAGUUGUAUCAUUUCUUAUUUU
rfam:Arabis alpina cultivar Pajares scaff_67825_1_contig_4, whole genome shotgun sequence.